rnacentral:rRNA from 1 species
CGCUGGCGGCGUGCUUAACACAUGCAAGUCGAACGAAAGGCCCUGCUUUGUGGGGUGCUCGAGUGGCGAACGGGUGAGUAACACGUGAGUAACCUGCCCUUGACUUUGGGAUAACUUCAGGAAACUGGGGCUAAUACCGGAUAGGAGCUCCUGCUGCAUGGUGGGGGUUGGAAAGUUUCGGCGGUUGGGGAUGGACUCGCGGCUUAUCAGCUUGUUGGUGGGGUAGUGGCUUACCAAGGCUUUGACGGGUAGCCGGCCUGAGAGGGUGACCGGCCACAUUGGGACUGAGAUACGGCCCAGACUCCUACGGGAGGCAGCAGUGGGGAAUAUUGCACAAUGGGCGGAAGCCUGAUGCAGCAACGCCGCGUGCGGGGUGACGGCCUUCGGGUUGUAAACCGCUUUCGCCUGUGACGAAGCGUGAGUGACGGUAAUGGGUAAAGAAGCACCGGCUAACUACGUG